rnacentral:lncRNA from 1 species
CCAAAAUAAAACAAAAGUACAAAGUGAAACAAGAAACAAUGUGGAGAUCAACGUCGAAAUGACGCUUAUAGAAGACAGUUGAUGUCAACAAACAUGCAUUAAAUAUUUUAUCUGAAGGUAUAAUUAAUGAUGAUGUUUAAAUUACACCUUUAGUCAUGUUGUUGUUGGUUAUGUUUGUUUACUCCUGUGAAAGAAAAAUCAAAACCCACUUGUGUCAAAACCAUUGUCCCAAAAAACUGGCAAAAGUUUACAAAACAAAAAAAAUAUUCAGCAUGGACUGAGUCGACUGAGACUACUAUCCCAGUAGUCUCAGGUCUGGACAAUGUAUACUCAUUGACUGGGUAUGAGAGUUGAAAAGUAAGUUUAUCAUGUUUAUUGUCCCCAAGUUGGAACCAUUGCCCGAGGCGUAGCAUAAAAAACUUACUAUUCCACAAAUAUUCAGUCAGUAAGUGUUUUAAUAUAUAUUGAAAGAGACAACAGAAAUAAAUAAAUGUUGGUUUAAAUCAACUAUAGUAAUAUAAAGAAAGAAACACAAAUAAACUGUUUAACAUUUAUUUCAUGUAUUUUCUGAAUACUUAGGCUACAUCCUGACUGAUGUUAACCCUUGAAUAUGGGUCCGUUCGCGCCCAUUCACGUUCCCACUCACUCACGUUCGCACCCACUCAUGUUCGCCCCCUUUCGCUUUCGCACCCUACAUGUUCGCACCCAAAGUCAGUUCGCACCCUACAUGAUCGUGCCCAAUUUUAAUUGGUUUUGUGUUUAAUAACUUUGUAAUCAAAUUUUGGCAAGUGUAUUCUUUUAUUUGUUGUCAUUGUCUCAAAAUAAAGUGAGAGCAUAUUUUUUCUUGUGUUGAAUAAAUCUCAAUCAUGUUUUGGAUAGUGUAUUGUUAAAAAAACAAAAUCUUUCUAAAUAAAGUGGGGUUCUGUCAACGUUUUAUUUUGUGUUGAGUAACUCUUAAUCAUGUUUUGGUUAGUGUAUUGCUAUAACUUUGUUUCAUUGACUUGUUUCAAAAUAAAGUAAGAAUCUGACAACGUUUUUUGUGUGUGUUGAAUAAAUUUUAUCAUGUUUUGGUUAUAAUAGUGUAUUGCUAUAUUGUAUUGUUUCAUUGUUUUAGAUCAAAGGGACCAAGCUGUUAAAACAAGUAUCUUUUGUGUUUUUCAUUUAAAAUCUUCAAUGUUUUACUCAUACCAAGCUAUAAAUACAUUCAGUAUUUACACCAAAGCAAUUUAAAACAACAAUCAUGAUUUUCCAAUUAUUCAACUGGAAUAUGAAUUAAAAUUGGGCGCGAACGUGUAGAGUGCGAACAGACCUUGGGUGCGAAUGUGCGAGGUGGGAACGUGUAGGGUGCGAAAAUGUAUUGGGCGCGAACGGACCUGAUACCUCAACCCUUGAUACAAUAGGUACAUGUAAAGUGUGACAUCGCAACUACCACAAUAUUUUCUACAUUCUCCUAUCCUGUAGCUGCAUUUGAAAUUUCAGGAAAUAUAAUGAUGCUUGCCGUCAAAUAGUUUCAUCGAGGUCCAAUAGUUUCCAUAUUCGUGAUAUUGUUUGGCGAAUAGCCAAUCGCUUGCAAGUUGAAAAUUAGUCAAAAUAUUGUGUACUGACUUUAUAAAGGAAAUGAUAACUGAGGUAAAAUUGCUAUCCUCAUUUUACACAUUGAGGAACUAAAUAUUUGCUUAACUGAAACUUAUAAAACCUAUUUAUGUCUUCACCAGUUCAUUGUCACAUUAUACUUGAAUUGUUUUUUUUUUCUUUUCUGGGCAGUAAGAGUUAUCCUUCAUUCCAUAUAUACAAUGUAGGCAACUGACUCCUCAUAAAAAAAUAAAAAUACAUUUGUAUCUGUACUUUAUUUUUCAUUUACAUGUUUUACUGUUAAAUCAAUCAUCCUUAAUCAGAACGAUAGUUGUAUGUGUGAGUGUAUGCGAGUGGGAGAGAAAGGCUUUUUAUUUUUACUUUAUGUAAUUACAUGCUUGUUAUGAGCCCUAUGAUUAGGAAAUAAAAUAUCUUUAUCUUAUCUCUUUAUCUUAUAAUAACAUGAAUAAGGAGGUAUAUUGCCUGGCAAGGAUUUUUAUUGGCCUGGGACGAAAUUUAUUAGGUCCCAUUUUUAAUAAAUAUAUUUAUAGACUUUUUAACUAGUAUUCAAACACAAACUUCAAACUGUCAUAACACUUCUUUAAACUAUUUAUUUUUUGUUGCUGCAUUGAAGACACAUUGGUGGCCUUCAGCUGUUAUCUGUUCUUUGGUCGGGUUGUUGUCUCUUUAACACAUUCCACAUUUCCAUUCUCAAUUUUAAAUUGAAAUGAGCAGCUUGUGAGUCACCAGUACAGUAAACAGACAACAUUUUGCUGACCUGGUCUGCAUGAAAUGAUUCAAAUGAUUCAUGAAGACAGAAAAUAUUGCUCGCACCUAGGAAACACCCUCUAAAGAAGUAUCACAAAUGCCAUGAAAUGUAAAAUUGCUAGAAUGUUUUGGUUAUAAUAUGGACGAUUACCUCCUUCAUUGUCCUUAUUCUAAGGAUCAACCCUUUAAACACCAAAUGCUGUGUUCAGGACUGAGUUCCUUGCUAUUUGUCAUUUUUUUACUGAAUAUCACAUUCAUGACAUUGGUUCCCAUAAAAUUAGUACAGCUCAAAAAAAAAUCUCAAUUUGCCACAAAGAAAACGGAAUGUUGAAAAUAAUCCAUGUGUCACAAAUUUAUGUAAGUUAUGUGUUGCUGAUUCCAAAAUAGCAUUCCUUAAGUUCCUAGAUGAGAGAUUCAGAAUCUAUGUAGCCUAGAAAUUUAUGAAUUGAAUCAACUCAUAUCAAAUCUGUUUAUCGUUUUUAUCACUGAAAUAUAUUUAUAUAUAUCCGUCACUUUUAUAUUUCAGACAAAAAAUGUAACCAAAAAAGAUCUUGAGAAUGUUUGUGUUGGUAGAAAUGAAAGAUACUGUGAGGAUCCCACCAUGGCUGUUCAAUAUCAAAUUCAACGAUGCAGUAAAUGAGGCUCUGAACAAAAAAUUUGCCAAUAAGGUAAGUGUAUUGCAUUGUUAAUAUACCGGUACAGACUAGUGACUUUAAAAAAUCUUCAACAGUUGAUCUGUUAUUUUACCAUACAAUCUGUUAAACAUGAGAUUUUUAUGCCCCACCUACCAAAGUAGAGGGGCAUUAUGUUUUCUGGUCUGUGCGUCCGUUCAAUCCUCUGUCCAUCAGUUCCUUCGUCUGUCCAGCUUCAGGUUGUUUUUGAUCAAGUUGAUGUCUAAUCAACUUGAAACUAGGAACCCAUGUUCCCUAUGAUAUGAUCAUUUUAAUUGUAAUGCCAAAUUAGAGUUUUUACCCCAAAUUCACGGUCCGCUGAACAUAGAAAAUGAUAGUUUGAGUAGGACAUCCAUGUACUGGGGACACAUUCUUGUUGGUACUAAUUUGUGGCUGGAAUUUCAUCCCCAGUCUGUGCUAAAAUUUAAUCUCUCAGAAAUUAUUCUUAACCCAUAACAUAUCAAUCAAUUUACUAAGUCAUAUGUUUGACUUGCUGUAUUAAAUAGAUCUAUUAUAAAAUUCUCAAAAAUGUUUAAUCAUUGUCAUGAUUAUGUAUUUCCAAAUCGUUUCUUUUCUACAUUGAAGGUAGUACAUAAUGUUGGACUAUGCAUUGCAUUGUGGGAUAUCACCAAAAUUGAGGACAGUUUUAUAUUCCCAGGAGAUGGAGCAUCACACUCAAUAGGUA